rnacentral:rRNA from 1 species
CCUACGGGAGGCAGCAGUGAGGAAUAUUGGUCAAUGGUCGCGAGACUGAACCAGCCAAGUAGCGUGAGGGAUGAAUGCCCUAAGUGUUGUAAACUUCUUUUAUCAGGGAAUAAAGUGUUGCACGUGUGCCUUUUUGUAUGUACCUUAUGAAUAAGUAUCGGCUAACUCCGUGCCAGCAGCCGCGGUAAUACGGAGGAUCCGAGCGUUAUCCGGAUUUAUUGGGUUUAAAGGGUGCGUAGGUGGGUUGUUAAGUCAGUGGUGAAAGUUUGCGGCUCAACCGUAAAAUUGCAGUUGAUACUGGCAGUCUUGAGUACAGUAGAGGUAGGCGGAAUUCGUGGUGUAGCGGUGAAAUGCUUAGAUAUCACGAAGAACUCCGAUUGCGAAGGCAGCUUACUG